AUUGAACGCUGGCGGCAUGCCUUACACAUGCAAGUCGAACGGCAGCACGGGAGCAAUCCUGGUGGCGAGUGGCGAACGGGUGAGUAAUACAUCGAAACGUGCCCAGUCGUGGGGGAUAACUACUCGAAAGAGUGGCUAAUACCGCAUACGACCUGAGGGUGAAAGCGGGGGAUCGCAAGACCUCGCGCGAUUGGAGCGGCCGAUGUCAGAUUAGCUAGUUGGUGGGGUAAAGGCCUACCAAGGCUAAGAUCUGUAGUUGGUCCGAGAGAACGACAAGCCACACUGGGACUGAGACGCGGCCCUGACUCCUACGGGAGGCAGCAGUGGGGAAUUUUGGACAAUGGGCGCAAGCCUGAUCCAGCAAUGCCGCGUGCAGGAAGAAGGCCUUCGGGUUGUAAACUGCUUUUGUCAGGGAAGAAAUCCUCUGGGUUAAUACCUCGGGGGGAUGACGGUACCUGAAGAAUAAGCACCGGCUAACUACGUGCCAGCCGCCGCCGUAAAAC
rnacentral:rRNA from 1 species